UUGAACUGAAGAGUUUGAUCCUGGCUCAGAUUGAACGCUGGCGGCAUGCCUUACACAUGCAAGUCGAACGGCAGCACGG
rnacentral:rRNA from 1 species